rnacentral:rRNA from 1 species
UCAGUAACACGUAGUCAACCUAACUCGUGGACGUGGAUACCCUCGGGAAACUGAGAAUAAACCACGAUAGAUCAUUAUGCCUGGAAUGGCUUAUGGUCGAAAUAGUUUACUGCCAUGAGAUGGGACUGCGGCCUAUCAGCUUGUUGGUGAGGUAAUGGCCCACCAAGGCUAUAACAGGUACGAGCUCUGAGAGGAGAAGCCCGGAGAUGGGUACUGAGACACGGACCCAGGCCCUAUGGGGCGCAGCAGGCGAGAAACCUUAGCAAUGUGCGAAAGCACGACUGGGUCAGUCCGAGUGAUUCCUGCUGAAGGAAUCUUUUGCUUGUCCUAAAAGCACAGGUGAAUAAGGGGUGGGCAAGUCUGGUGCCA